AGGUAGUACAGUAUAGCCUCAGCUAGUCCAGCCCCUAGUCCAGCAGGUAGUACAGUAUAGCCUCAGCUAGUCCAGCAGGUAGUCCAGCAGGUAGUACAGUAUAGCCUCAGCUAGUCCAGCAGGUAGUCCAGUAUAGCCUCAGCUAGUCCAGCUCCUAGUCCAGCAGGUAGUACAGUAUAGCCUCAGCUAGUCCAGCAGGUAGUCCAGUAUAGCCUCAGCUAGUCCAGCAGGUAGUACAGUAUAGCCUCAGCUAGUACAGCUCCUAGUCCAGCAGGUAGUACAGUAUAGCCUCAGCUAGUCCAGCAGGUAGUCCAGUAUAGCCUCAGCUAGUCCAGCUCCUAGUCCAGCAGGUAGUACAGUAUAGCCUCAGCUAGUCCAGCAGGUAGUACUGUAUAGCCUCAGCUAGUCAGCCCCUAGUCCAGUAUAGCCUCAGCUAGUCAGCCCCUAGUCCAGCAGGUAGUUGGUUUUGAGAGAGAGCCUUGACAGAAUGAUAACCACGCCACAGAACUGUAUACAUUUAUCAAUGAUACAUGUUCCAACUCGGGUCCCUUGACACAGAGGCAAGUACGCUAACCCCAAGAUAGACAACUCUAGAGCUUCUCCCUAACCCUUAACCCUAACCGCUUAACCCUAACCCCAAGAUAGACAAC